AAUCCUUUUCCUUACCCAAACCUGAAACCCAUUAAGAAACUUACCUCUUCACUCACGCGGACGCACAAGGCCGAAGGCCAUCUCUCGCGUUUUUCCUCUUCUGCUAGGGCUCGCGACUACCGGCGGCACCCUCUUCUUCCUUUCUUCUCCUCACCGUUGACUGACGACAUCUUUUCUUUCCUUGCUGCCGCGGCGACGACGGCAAUCUCCGACGGACCUUUGUGAGUAGCGAUGACAUCUUCACGGUGACGUCUCCGGUGGAGUAGUUCUGCUCCAACCGGUGAGGUUCCCUUCAUCUCCAUCCCAAGGCGGCGACGACACAGUGAGAUCAGAAUUAGGGCUUUCUUAUCGGCGGAGCGUUCUCCUCCGGAGAGGCACCCUUUUCCAUCCCUUCCUCAGUGGAUGUUCUUUCCACGGAUGGCGCUGUGAAAGCGGAAGAUUCCAAGGAGGAAGUCAGCCGUUUCAUCUUCUUCUCUGGCAAGCACCUUCUAAAUUCCACAUUGGUUCUGUUGUGACUUCCGCGGACGGCGUUCCGAAGGCAGGAAGUCCAGGAAAUUCACUGUGUUUACAAAUUCCGGUAGAAUCUGAGUUGUCCGCAAUGUUUUACUUCUUCUCCAAUGUGCUUCCCAUCUGAAUCCCAAGGCUAAUGCUGCUGUGGACUUCUGCGGACGGUGUUGCGAAGGCUGGCAUGAUCCCAGCAACUUCAGUCAACAAUUCCGGCAGAGCAUUGUUAAAUUAAGUGAGGUUGCGUUGUUACGAGCAGUCAAUCAAUCAUUGUGUUUUCCACCAGGGCUGGCGUUCCAAAUCCGGGUCUCUGUGUGACGGCAGGGGUAGUCGAUUGGUGGUUGAUCACAAGAAGAGUGGUUCGGAUAGUGUAGUUCACCUUGCUGUUUAUGUAGCUUAAUUUUAUGUUUGGUCUACUUGUUAUUUCCUUAGGAUGCAUAUUAAAUUGUUUAGUUUCAUAUUCUGUUUAGUUCCAUUUAUGUAUGAUUGUUGAUCUUGUGUCAUAGGGUGAUAAUGUGGUACAAGUUUAGCUUUUAAUCAUAAUUAGGUUUUAUUUAAUUGUUGUUA